GGGCCUGUAGCUCAGUUGGUUAGAGCACCGCCUUGAUAAGGCGGGGGUCAAUGGUUCAAGUCCAUUCAGGCCCACCA
rnacentral:tRNA from 1 species